UGAAGUCAUUGAUGCCAUGCUUCCAGGAAAAGCCUCUAAGCUUCAGAUUGUAAGGAAUCGUACCCCAAACCGACACAGGUGGUCGGGUAGAGAAUACCAAGGCGCUUGAGAGAACUCGGGUGAAGGAACUAGGCAAAAUGGUACCGUAACUUCGGGAGAAGGUACGCUCUUGACGGUGAAGUCCCUCGCGGAUGGAGCUAUUGAGAGUCGCAGAUACCAGGUGGCUGCAACUGUUUAUUAAAAACACAGCACUGUGCAAAAUCGUAAGAUGACGUAUACGGUGUGACGCCUGCCCGGUGCCGGAAGGUUAAUUGAUGGGGUUAGUUUUCGGACGAAGCUCUUGAUCGAAGCCCCGGUAAACGGCGGCCGUAACUAUAACGGUCCUAAGGUAGCGAAAUUCCUUGUCGGGUAAGUUCCGACCUGCACGAAUGGUGUAACCAUGGCCACGCUGUCUCCAACAUCGACUCAGUGAAAUUGAAUUGCCUGUCAAGAUGCAGGCUACCCGCGGCUAGACGGAAAGACCCCGUGAACCUUUACUACAGCUUGGCACUGAACAUUGAGCCUACAUGUGUAGGAUAGGUGGGAGGCUUUGAAGCAGAGACGCUAGUUUCUGUGGAGCCGUCCUUGAAAUACCACCCUUGUAGUGUUGAUGUUCUAACAUAGGCCCCUGAAUCGGGGUUGUGGACAGUGCCUGGUGGGUAGUUUGACUGGGGCGGUCUCCUCCCAAAGAGUAACGGAGGAGCACGAAGGUUGGCUAAGUACGGUCGGACAUCGUACGGUUAGUGUAAUGGUAGAAGCCAGCUUAACUGCGAGACAGACACGUCGAGCAGGUACGAAAGUAGGUCAUAGUGAUCCGGUGGUUCUGAAUGGAAGGGCCAUCGCUCAACGGAUAAAAGGUACUCCGGGGAUAACAGGCUGAUACCGCCCAAGAGUUCAUAUCGACGGCGGUGUUUGGCACCUCGAUGUCGGCUCAUCUCAUCCUGGGGCUGAAGUCGGUCCCAAGGGUAUGGCUGUUCGCCAUUUAAAGUGGUACGUGAGCUGGGUUUAGAACGUCGUGAGACAGUUCGGUCCCUAUCUGCCGUGGGCGUUUGAGAAUUGAGAGGGGCUGCUCCUAGUACGAGAGGACCGGAGUGGACGAACCUCUGGUGUUCGGGUUGUGUCGCCAGACGCAUUGCCCGGUAGCUAAGUUCGGAAUCGAUAACCGCUGAAAGCAUCUAAGCGGGAAGCGAGCCUCGAGAUGAGUUCUCACUUUAACUUGAGUUAACUGAAGGGCCGUUGAA
rnacentral:rRNA from 1 species